UACGUAGGGUGCGAGCGUUAAUCGGAAUUACUGGGCGUAAAGCGUGCGCAGGCGGUUUUGUAAGUCUGUCGUGAAAUCCCCGGGCUCAACCUGGGAAUGGCGAUGGAGACUGCAAGGCUGGAAUCUGGCAGAGGGGGGUAGAAUUCCACGUGUAGCAGUGAAAUGCGUAGAGAUGUGGAGGAACACCGAUGGCGAAGGCAGCCCCCUGGGCUAAGAUUGACGCUCAUGCACGAAAGCGUGGGGAGCAAACAGG
rnacentral:rRNA from 1 species